rnacentral:rRNA from 1 species
CCACUUUGUGGUUCAUGACUGGGGUGAAGUCGUAACAAGGUAGCGCUAGGGGAACCUGGCGCUGGAUCACCUCCUUACACGAAGAU